rnacentral:rRNA from 1 species
AGUCACUGACAUUAGAUACCCGCGUAGUCCAGGGUGUAAACGCUGCAGACUUGGUGUUGGAAGUCCUUUGGGGGCAUUCAGUGCCGGAGAGAAGUUGUUAAGUCUGCUACUUGGGAGUACGUCCGCAAGGAUGAAACUUAAAGGAAUUGGCGGGGGAGCACCGCAACGGGAGGAGCGUGCGGUUUAAUUGGAUUCAACACCGUAAACUCACCAGGGAAGACUGUUACAUGAAGGCCGAGAUGAAGACUCUGCUAGAUUUUCAG